rnacentral:tRNA from 1 species
GCCCCUGUAGCAUAGUGGCUAGUGCAGCUGACUUGUAAUCAGCAGGUCGCCGGUUCAAAUCCGGCCAGGGGCU